GACCGCCCGCCCCUCCCGGUGCCUUCCCACCCCCGGGCCGAGAGGAGCGGGAGGGCCCCGGGGGCUGCGAGCGGGGGGAGGUGUCCGCCUCCCGGCUGUGCUGCUGGCUCUGAGCGGCCGGGAGGGGCGGGGGGGAAUGACGGGACGCAAGUUUUUUAUCGGAGUGGUCGGGUAUCGGGACGGGCUGCCCGGGGGGCGGGGGGGGUCACCGUCCCCGAAGGAGCUCGGAACUCAGGAAACGUGGCACGGAGGGACGUGGGCAGCGGGAAUGGGGGGCGACGUUGGGUUGGGGAUCCCAGGGGCGCUCCAGUUAAGGGUUCUGUGACGGUCCCUGGGUUUGGGAUUUGCCUGCGAGCUCAGCUGCAGCUGUGAGGGACCUGUUUUAGGCCCCUGGGAUUGGCCAGAUCCCUGCCCUGAGUUUAUGAGAGUGCUUCAUCCUACACCCGGUAUUUCUUUUUGCAGGAAGCGCGUGGGAACAUCAAAACCACAUGACAGUAUCGCCGGCACCAGUUAGCGCAGCUCUCCCAGAGAGCAUUGUGAUACUUCGGGUCCAGAUGGCCUCCUGACGUUCAGAGGUGUGACAAGGUGGAAGGUCAGAGAGAGGGACAGAGAGGAAUGAAUGAGAAAGGAGUUGUGCUUGCCACUGAGAUAAGUGAUGAGAUAGGAGCUCCAGAGUCUCCUAUGCUUACAGAGCAUAGCAUGUACUUGUGCGUGUGCACUUCCCACUUACAGUCAUACAGAAUAUUGCAUAAUAUUGGCAUCUGAACGUAUAGAAUUAUAAAUAGAAUAUAGAAUUGUUUUCAAAGAUAAAAAUGUAGUUUUCCCUCAGUUACAACUAUAGGAUCUUCUGUCUUUCAUUGUAUGUUAAGUGUGGAAUAUCAGAGCAGCCAAGCAUUCCGUAACAAUCUUGUUCUGCAAAGUACUCAAAUUGGACCGGGAUGUGAAGCUUUAAGAACACAGGAAAAGUUUCACUUAAUGCAGAACAGUAACGUUAUGAUGGAUUUUACAUUUCAAAACUUCUCAGUACUCAUUUCUGUGUUUACUUCUUGAAGAAGCUACUGUUAACACAUCGGAACUCAAGGAUAUUAAAUAAAUAAAUAUAUAUAUAUAUAUAUACAUAUAUAUAUUUUUACUGCAUGAAAAGAAAUUGGAGAUAAAUAAAGCAUAUCAUUUUACAUAAAA